rnacentral:rRNA from 1 species
GAUGAACGCUGGCGGCGUGCUUAACACAUGCAAGUCGAACGAGAAAUGGAGACGGAAACCUUCGGGCGGAAGGCUUCAUUUCGAGUGGCGGACGGGUGAGUAACGCGUGGGUAACCUGCCUCAUACAGGGGGAUAACAGUUGGAAACGACUGUUAAUACCGCAUAAGACCACAGCACCGCAUGGUGCGGGGGUAAAAACUCCGGUGGUAUGAGAUGGACCCGCGUUCGAUUAGCCAGUUGGCAGGGUAACGGCCCACCAAAGCGACGAUCGAUAGCCGAUCUGAGAGGAUGACCGGCCACAUUGGGACUGAGACACGGCCCAAACUCCUACGGGAGGCAGCAGUGGGGAAUAUUGCACAAUGGGGGAAACCCUGAUGCAGCGACGCCGCGUGAGUGAAGAAGUACUUCGGUAUGUAAAGCUCUAUCAGCAGGGAAGAAAAUGACGGUACCUGAGUAAGAAGCCCCGGCUAACUACGUG